rnacentral:rRNA from 1 species
UAAGUCUCAGUUCGGAUUGAAGGCUGAAAUUCGCCUUCAUGAAGCCGGAAUUGCUAGUAAUGGCAGGUCAGCAUACUGCCGUGAAUACGUUCCCGGGCCUUGUACACACCGCCCGUCACACCAUGAGAGUUGGGAAUACCCGAAGCCUGUGAGCUAACUUUUAGAGGCAGCAGUCGAAGGUAGAAUCAAUGAUUGGGGUGAAGUCGUAACAAGGUAAC